GGGCAGCGCAGGUAGCAAUACUGGGCGGCGACCGGCAAACGGGUGCGGAACACGUACACAACCUUCCUACAAGUGGGGAAUAGCCCAGAGAAAUUUGGAUUAAUACCCCGUAACAUAACGAUGUGGCAUCACAUUGUUAUUAUAGCUUCGGCGCUUGUUGAUGGGUGUGCGGCUGAUUAGAUAGUUGGCGGGGUAACGGCCCACCAAGUCUACGAUCAGUAGCUGAUGUGAGAGCAUGAUCAGCCACACGGGCACUGAGACACGGGCCCGACUCCUACGGGAGGCAGCAGUAAGGAAUAUUGGUCAAUGGACGCAAGUCUGAACCAGCCAUGCCGCGUGAAGGAUUAAGGUCCUCUGGAUUGUAAACUUCUUUUAUUUGGGACGAAAAAAGGGCAUUCUUGCUCACUUGACGGUACCAGAUGAAUAAGCACCGGCUAACUCCGUGCCAGCAGCCGCGGUAAUACGGAGGGUGCAAGCGUUAUCCGGAUUCACUGGGUUUAAAGGGUGCGUAGGCGGGCAGUUAAGUCAGUGGUGAAAUCCUAGAGCUUAACUCUAGAACUGCCAUUGAUACUAUCUGUCUUGAAUAUUGUGGAGGUAAGCGGAAUAUGUCAUGUAGCGGUGAAAUGCUUAGAUAUGACAUAGAACACCUAUUGCGAAGGCAGCUUACUACGCAUAUAUUGACGCUGAGGCACGAAAGCGUGGGGAUCAAACAGGAUUAGAUACCCUGGUAGUCCACGCCCUAAACGAUGAUUACUCGACAUUUGUGAUACACUAUAAGUGUCUGAGCGAAAGCAUUAAGUA
rnacentral:rRNA from 1 species